AAGCCUCACACAUUCAUAUGGAGAUUUGGGAGUAUAAAUAGAGGAUCUGCAGCCGGUGCAGACCAGACUCACUCUGAACAGAGAGAUCUACAGCACAGAGAUCCAGACAUGACACCUACAAUCAUCUCAGAGGAGCAGCUCCCUCUCAACAACAAGCUGAGAAAGCCAAGGCUGGAGAAGAUGCUCAGAGAUUGUGUCAACUCAAGCUCAAGUGUCUUCUGGCUCCAGAGUUCAUCAAGCAGCAGCUGGAUUCAAAUCUGGAGAAAGCAGAGAUCCUGGAGAUGACACUCAUCUUCCUGCAGCUCCACAGAUCCAGUUCACAUGCUGUCAGUCAAUGCUUCUCCAGAUGUGUCCAAAGAUGAGAUGAAGACAGAGAGCCAGAGAAGACUGCUGAAGCACUUCCAGAAGCUGCAGACUUCAUGUAACAGAAGGGAACACCAGAACACCUUCAGCAAAGAGAUGAAUAUCAACAAGAGCAUCAUCUGGAGACGCUGGUAGAGCCUUAAACACUCAGACUGAACGUCUGCUCUAGACUCAGUGGACUAUUACACUUUCAGUUUCUCUUUUUGAGUCAUGGGUUUCAUGAGUUCCAGUUCGGAAGAGAUAUUUGCACUGUUAAGUGCCCUGAUGAUUCAAUCUUCUAUGAAGACUUUUCUCUUGUUGAGAAAAUGUCCUUUAACUAUUUUUUUGUUAAAUUACCAUGAUGGUACACUGUGUUUUAGAAGUGUGUAUUAGUCUACAAAGUGCAUGAAAUUGCAAUUUUCACAUCCUUUGGGUGUAAUUCCUCACCUUUGAGGUGAUUCAUAAUAUGACCGUAAAGUCCGAUCUGCUUUCUUUUUUGUUUCAUGUUGAAACUUAUUACAUUUUUUUGCAAGUGGCGAAAAGCAAUUAUAGAUUUUUUUUUAAUCAUAUUUGUUGUUUUGAAGAAUGAUGCAUGUCUUAUAAUAAGUAUGACAAUUUCUUUAAAAUUUGAAAGAUUAUUAUCUAAUCUGAACAACAUGUUAAUCAUGUUUUAUAAGUGUGGCCAAGAUUUGGUCAGUAUUUGUAAUUAAUAUUGAUGAUUGUUUUCAAUCGUACUGAGAUUUUUAUUAAACCCAGCUGGGCUUGUUUUGUGUUUCUGAGGAAAUAAUAUCUAGUUUAUGUCUGAAAAGAUCUGAAAAGAUCAUAGAUGUAUUUUUAAGAGGUUAUACCUCAUCUUUCUGUCAGUACCAUGUACUGUGUUUUUCAACUGCCUUUUGUAAGGGUAUUUAUUUCUUAAACCGUUGUGAAAAUGUUUUCACUGUGUAAGUGAAAUGUUGUUUCCUUAUGUGAAGGAAUGAACUUUUUUAAAAUAUGAAACUAAAAGGCCAUUGAAUGUAUUUCAGACAAUCUGUGGCGAAAUAAAACAAUCAAAAAAA